rnacentral:lncRNA from 1 species
AAAAAUAUGGUACUAAUUAAAAUACGAGUUUGUACAUAAUUGAAAUAUAUGUAUAAAAAAGAAAAAAAGACUCACUAAAAUUACUCCAUUUGUUAGCAAUUUUUAGAUGAUUCAUUAGAUGAUUAUUUUAUAAAUAUUAAAUAUGCAUAUAGUCAAAAUUAUAAAAGUGUGUAUCAAAAUAAAAACACCACAUUGUAUCGUGAACG